rnacentral:rRNA from 1 species
AAACAUGUCCUUUUGAUUUUAUUUAAGGUCUAGCCUGCCCACUGAAGUUUUAAAUGGCCGCAGUAUCCUAACUGUGCAAAGGUAGCAUAAUCAUUAGUCUUUUAAUUGGAGGCUGGUAUGAAUGGCUGGACGAGAUACUAACUGUUUCAUUUAUAUUUAAAAUAGAAUUUUAUUUUUUAGUCAAAAAGCUAAAAUUAAGUUAAAAGACGAGAAGACCCUAUAAAUCUUUAUAUUUUAUAUAUAUUAAUAAUAUAGAUUUUUUUUAUUAUUAUAUAAAAAAAUAUUUUAUUGGGGUGAUAUUAAAAUUUAAUAAACUUUUAAUUUUUAACAACAUUAAUUUAUGAAUAAUUGAUCCGUUUUUAACGAUUAUAAAUUUAAGUUACUUUAGGGAUAACAGCGUAAUUUUUUUGGAGAGUUCAUAUCGAUAAAAAAGAUUGCGACCUCGAUGUUGGAUUAAGAUUCAGGCUUGGGCGCAGCCGUUCAAGUUUUAAGUCUGUUCGACUUUUUAAAUCUUACAUGAUCU